CUUGGACAGCGGCGGCUGCGGCGUCACCUUGAAGCUGGGGUCCCUUAUCCGCUUCAGCGUGUAGGCCUGGAACACGUUCAGGGUGGUGAUGUAGGGAUUGCGCAGACGCAGCCCCUGCUUCAGGUAAGGAUCGCCUUCAAGAAUGUCCUUGUGCCCAGCGAUCUGCAACAAAAAAAAAGUACAGUACAUGAAUAUAUAUAUAUAUAUAUAUAUAUAUCGUGCAGUCUGCAGUGCAUGAAUAUCAUUCCUGCAGUGAACUUGCUGGUAAAAAAAAAGGUACCUGUAGGAGAAGCUGCUGUGUCUCCACGUAUUUGUCCCUGAGCUGCUUCCCAAAGGGCUUGAGUUCCUCGGCGACAAGCAGCUCGUCGUACAAGCCGGCAAUGCCAGGGUCUCCCUUGGCGAAAACCAUCUCCAGCAGGUCCAGGGUGACCCUGAAGAAUGGCCACUCGUUGUACAUCUCCUUGAGCUUCUGGAAGUUCUUGAUGUCCUUGUCGAUGGCCCACUUGAAGGCGGCGCCGACUCCCAGCCACACGGGGAGGUGGAACCUCGUCUGUGUCCACGAGAAGAUCCAGGGGAUGGCACGCAGGGUGGUGAUGCCGCCGCCCGGCUUCCUCUUGGCUGGCCUGCUGCCGAUGUUCAUCUUCCCGUACUCAGUCUCAGGGGUAGCCUGACAGAGAAAGACAGACGAAUGAAUUAUAACGACGACAUGGAUGAAUGAAUUCGAUUAUUCGAUCGAUCUUCACCAAACAUCAAACAAAUAUAUGAUGGCAUACCGAUCUGAAGUACUCGACGAAUCGCGGCUCCUUGACGACGACGGAGCGGUACUCCUCCGUGGCGACGACGGCCAUCUCCUCCAUGAGCUUGCGCCACUCGGGCUUGGGAGACACCGGCGGGUGCAUGCCGUGCUCCAGCGUGGCGGCCGUGAACCGCUGCAGAGACUGGAAGCACAGGUUCUCCUCCCCGAACAUGAACUCGAUGACCUCGCCCUGCACCGUCACACGGAUGGACCCGUUGAUGGUGUCCGGCGGCUGGGACAGGAUGGCGAGGUGCGUCGGGCCACCGCCCCUGCCGACGGUGCCACCGCGGCCGUGGAACAAGGUCAGCUUCACGCCGUACUUCUUGGCCACCUUGGCCAUCUCCUCCUGCGCCACGUACAGCUGCCACGCCGCGGACAGGCGGCCGGCGUCCUUGCCGGAGUCGGAGUAGCCGACCAUCACCUGCUGCUUGCCGUUGAUGUGGUUGAUGUACCAGUCAGUGGAGAAGAGCUUCUCCACGGACGCCGGCGCCGCCUGCAGGUCGGCCAGCCUCUCGAACAGCGGCACCACGGGGAGCGUCUGGCGAAUGCCACACUCGCGCUGCAGGAGCUCGACGGCGAGCACGUCCGAGGGCGCCGUGCACAUGGAGAUGAUGUAGGGGCCGAAGCUGUCGAUCGGGAGCUCGGCCAGGACGCGCAUGGCGCCGAUGACGUCGGCGAUCUCCUCGGUCAUGGGAAGGUCCGGGGGCAGCAGUGGGCGCUUGCCUUUCAGCUCCGACACCAGCCACUCCAUCCGCUUGUCCUCGGGCCACGAGCGGUACGACCCGAUGCCGAGGUGCGUGGUGAUGGCGUCGAUCACGUCGGUGUGCCGCUCCGACUCCUGCCGGAUGUCCAGCUUCACCAGGGAGAGACCGAACGCGAACACCUGGCGAAGGAGGUCCAGGAGGCUCCCGUCGGCGAUGGCCUUGUCGCCGCACUCACACAGGGAUUUGUAGCACAGCUCAAGGGGCUCAAGGAACUGCACGCAUGAGAUGCAUUUUUUUUUGUGCGACAGUAAGAAUCAGACCGAAAUGUACUAGUACAUCAUAUUAUUGAUUGAUCGCUUAAAUCACAUUUCAGUUUCACAAAAGGAAUAAAAUUAAGGAACUUGCCGAUUUAUUUACCUCUUCGAUCUUGGUAAAUACCGCGUCCUCAGAAAUUUCAGAAAAUCCAGUUGCCAGCAGAUGGCGUGCACGCUCGCGUGUGUUGUAUAACUUGUCCCUUACAGCACCAAGGAUCACCCGGUAGGGCUCGUUUGGGGGAAUUUGCUUCCAGAAUUCUGCGCCAGCAUCAAAUACUCUUAUUCAGAAAAAUUGGCAAACUGACACACGUACGGCUAAUUAACACGGGGCAACAUUGUUGAAAUCAAAUUUGAAAAGACUAGUGGAGACUUUGCAAAAGCCUGUGCACGCAACCACAAUCUGCAACUUGUCCUAGUGCCGUGGGUUCUCCUAUUUUUAUCAUUCAAUAUUUAGAAAAAAAUUUCUCUACCAAAUGCCUCCCUAAUGAGAAUUCCCAUAAUUAGUGGUAGUAUUUUACUACUACUUAAAACAUUAGGAGAACUCUAUUAUUUUUGCUAGUGGCGGCAGACGAAUCUAUGAGGAGGUACGAACAAGCAAUAGCUAAACAACAAUCUGCAUCUCUAAAAACGCUUAUUAGCUAAUUCAGUCUCUCUUUUUUUUCGUGAAUACCUAAUUCAGUCUCUUUAAAUAAAUAAAUUCUUCUGUUUGUAGUUACCUAUGUAAUACUUGGUAACUUUCUUUGAAGCUGGAGUACUCUGGACUUCUUCGGCUCGAGCACGAAGCUCAUCAUUGCAGCGCCACAUAGAGAGCUAGAGACAUAUAUCAGAUGAGAGUAUUGUUAUGGAUCGGAGGCACCAAAAAAACGGCAAGCCAAAAAAAUGAGCAUUACAAAGCAUUCAAUCAAACACAUUUGUUCAGUACCUCAAACAUCAGGUCUUCGACCUGAUUGAUGUACAAGUUUGCAGCCAUCAUUCUAGACAGCAAGCACACAUCUCUUGUCACCUCCGGAGUAACUCUUGGAUUUCCUACAGUGAUAAAAAUGCAAAGAUAUACAGACUUAACAACAUCAAACAUUAGCAUCAAUACUAUAGAACAUUAAAUUAUUAAUAAAAUAGAAUGACACCGCCAUCUAGUUUAUCUUUUUUUUUAGAAAACAAAAUUGGGCUCGAAUUUUGAUAGGAGAAGUGUUGAAAAGUAAAAAUAUGAAUCUAAAUCAGUCCUUUGCAAAAAAAUAAUUAACAAGUUUGUGAUAAUUGGAUAUAGACUACAUAGUAUCUAUUAUGUCUAUUUUAGAAAAUAAACAAAGAGCAAAACAUAUAAUUCAAUAUAAAUAAUUCUUUACUAGUCAGAUGUAUUAAACAAUAUAUAUUUUAAAAUUCUAGCUCGUGGGAAUGUUUUUCUCUUAGGCCCUGUUUUGCUACCCAAAAUUUUUUCAUCCAUCCCAUCGAAUCUUUGGACACAUGCAUGGAACAUUAAAUGUACAUAAAAAAAUAAACUAAUUACACAGUUUGGUUAAAAAUCGCGAGACGAAUCUUUUAAGCCUAGUUACUCUAUGAUUAGCCUUAAGUGCUACAGUAACUCACAUGUGCUAAUGACAGAUUAAUUAUGCUUAAUAGAUUUGUCUUGCAGUUUCCUGAUGAGCUAUGUAAUUUGUUUUUUAUUAGUUUCUAAAGACCCCUCCCGACAUUCUUCCAACAUAUCCGAUGUGACACCCAAAAAAUUUUCAUCCCCAAUCUAAACAGGGCCUUAAUUGAAAGAUAGAGAGCUCCUGCCACUUUGUUAAAAAAAAAGUAAGUGGAAAUAUACCAUCACGGUCACCACCCAUCCAAGAACAGAACUUAAUGAGAGGAACAUCGUAGGGAAGGCGCUCAUUGAUGCCGAUAUUCUUCAGGGCUGUAUCCACACGGCGCAAAAACUUAGGCACACCGUUCCAUACAGUUUCAUGGAUGUAGCUCAUCCCAUAGCGCAUUUCAUCCUGUGGGGUGGGUUGUGCUCUCCUGAUUUCAUCAGUUCUGAAAGCUGCUUGGAUCUGUGUACAUCCAACAAAACAAAUUAGAACUAAACAACCAAAAUAAAUUGAUAGAUACAGUGAAGGUAACGACAGAAUUCAAUCUAAUCAUAACAAAAAACAUGGUACACAAGAGAGGGAACACUGUAAGUUUUGUUUUUCAUUUUUUUUGAAAUCAGGAAACAUUUAAAGUUUGUAUCACAGACUCUUUACAGAUGGUGCAAAAUGUUAUUGUGUAGGCCUAAUAACAAACUGCAUAUUGAGUUUUCAGUCACCUUUCUAUGUUUCUUAUAUUAAACUAAUGGUACUUGUUUAAUGUAAAUAGUGAAUUUUGUUCUGACAAGAUCACAAUGCGUUCUCAGUUUGACAUGGUCUAGUCUGAAGGUUUUCUUUUGUUGAAAGUUCUGUAUAAUUAUUCAAGAAAAUCAUACAUCCUUGUUUAUGUAGAUGACCUAAAUAAAAAUGUUGGUUCUUGUGGAACAGGUUUACUUCUAAGUAUCUCAUAUUUUUGCAUAUAAUUCGAUCUCUCUCUCGAUAGAGUGUCUAUAUUUUUCCAACGGCGUACCAAACAGAGUGAAAGGACAUGGGGAUUAGCUACCAAUAAAACAUGGACAAUUACUAAAACACCCUUAAUUCCAUAGAGUGGGAAAAAAUAUGACUCUUCAUAAAAUUUUAAUUAUAGUGUAAAGAGAAAAAUCAGGCUCGUUCUGAUUCGUGUAAUGAUUACCUAGGGAAUAGGAUAAUGUGACAUUCUUAAAUGUUAGCAAUGUUUUAAAUGAUUCUUCGUGCUCAUUCAUAUAUAUAGAGUGAAGAAGGCUUGUGCUCUCGUGAAGUGCAGCCAGACACCUCACACAAACAUAUAUAUUGACAUAUCAAUUGAGGAUUAAUUUCUCUGGCCCACUUAGUUACACGUGUGUCGUGCCCAAUGUCUUAAGCUCAUGAGUCCACUUCUAUUCUAUCUCUAUCAAAGAAAAAAUGUAACGACGACGCAAAAAGAGAUAGACACUUUGACAGGACAGUGAUUGAAAAACUUUUACGAGAAUGGCUCAAACGGUUUUCGAAUUUGCAGGAAAAUCGUGUAAAAGUGUGUAUAUCCGAGGCUAGCUCUUGAUAAAUAAAGUUAUUAUAUUCCCAGAUGUGUGAAAUGCAUGUAUGCAUGUACGUACCUCUCUGUGCAGAGCCUCGUCGAGCUCCUUCUUGUCUUCGACCGUGACGUCCUUGGCACUCAGCUGCGUCAGACAAUUCCGGAUCCUGCAACGACGACAAGAGAUCAACAUUUUUGAUCCAGAAAUCCAAGGGAUUUGGACGCGGAUUAAUUGCAGAAUGAGAUCGAGUCGUAGUAUACCUGGCGUUUUUCUGCAGGAGCGACCUCCUGGCGGACUGCGUGGGAUGCGCGGUGAAGACGAGGUCGACGCUCUGGUUCUUGAGCGCCUCGAACACCUCCGCGGGGGUCUUGCCGAGCGACACGAGGCGCUUGAGCGUCUCCUCGAUGUCGGACUCGGUGGUGGCGGAGCCCUCGUCGGAGAAGUCCCCGUGCUUGAGCUUGCUGUUCCGGCGGCGGUGCGCCAGCUCCACUUCCUCCGCCAGGUUGGCGAGGUUGAGCAUGUGCAGGAUGGAGCUCGCCACCAGGAUGGCGUCGGCGGGGGCCAGCCCCGUCAGCUUGGCUCCCAGCUCCCCCAGCUUGGACGUGUCUUUCUUGCCCUCGUAGUCGGCCGACACCUCGUAGCACUCCUGGACCUGCAUGCAUCGCAUUUGGGUAUAUAUAUAUAUAUAGUAAGCACCGGAUUCGAGACGUAUAGACUAUAGAGAGGUGAGCUGAUGAUGCUCUCAGCUCGAUCUGCUACGUACAAAUUCGCGAAGGCUGGGGCCAUGGAGGUCCUGGAGGAUGUCGAGGAAGCGGUCGACGAGCAGGGCGUCAUACUGGAUGAGCUCCUCGGAGACCUUGCCGGGUGCGAGGGCACGGAGCUGCGCGUCGAUGGAGUGGUGCCGCUCGGACGCCAUGGCGGCGGCGGCCGGGGAGUGGGCCGGGAAGCGCGAACGAAGCUGGAGAUGGUUGGAGCGCGGCGCGGCGUGUUGCUCGUGCUGCUCCUCUGCUGCGAGUUGAUUGAUCAAUGCAGGGCGCCGGCCGGUGGCUUCAAAUAGGGAUGGGGAGUUGGCGAGUGUGUGGUCGGCGUGUGCACGCGGGAUUGGAAAGGCAUGCAUGUGAUCGGCGGUAAGGGUAGCCGAGAGCUGCGCGCGGCUGUGGCUACGCUGCUUUUGGCUGGGAUCGCUGCUGUGGACGUACUUUGUCACUGCGCACUUGCCUGCUUGUGUUAUUCCGCUGGCUAAUUGCCUGUUUGCAGGACGUGGAGAGGGGUGUCUGCUAGUGCUAGCUAGUGGUAAGGAUGGGGACGACGCUUCAAAUAACUCCUCGUGGUUCUUCUCUAGUCUAACUAAACGAACUAAAUUAAAAAAAUAAGAAAGAAAUUGUUUAUUUAGUUUAUUAAGUUAGACUAGAGAAAAACCGCGCAAGUAUCCAUUUAGAGUACCAUCUUCAUUCUUAGCUAGUGGUAACCGCAAAGGGGACCGGGAGAGCUGCGGCCGCACCUUGCUCCUGGAUCGUUUUUGGCUUGGCUUUGCUGCUGUUGACGUGCUUUGUCACUGCUCACCUGCCUUCUUGUGUUAUUCGGUUGGCUGAUGGGUUUGCAGGAUGGGGAGAGGGGUGUCUGUUUGCAGUCAAGGCCGGAUUCUGGGGAUCGGUAGAAUUUGGAGGUUUGCUUGCACGCGAUGUGGAGAGAGGUGUCUGUUAGCAACGGAGGAUGCAUGGCGCUGGAGGAAGGCUUUGCAGGGUGUGGAGGAGAGGGUGCCUGUUAUCCAGUAAUGUUAAUGUUAGGAACAUAGAUGUCCUAUAUCCAUGUAAAUUGUGGAAACAGAACUUAAUUUCCUUAGGAGACCGGGAAACAAAAAAUGAACUUGUGGUUAAGGAUAUGGACUAUAAUUUUGUGGUUCAAAGAAAGGUAUUGGUAUACAUGGCUGCCGUAGGGAUAAGGGUCAUACAUGGCUGCCGUAGGGAUAAGGGUGUUGUUACUCUACCAAGGGCACCAUACAGGUGGCUGCACAGCAUUCAGGCGCUGCCAAAUCUAGCGCGCACAUCACUGGGUCAAGCCGACACAGAUUUGGACAAUACGAUGUGUAGCAGCUGGUGGUGGUGAAGAUAUGCGGAUUUAAGAGAGAGGUGGAUUUGGGUUGGGAGGAGCAACUUGCAUCGUCGUGGAUCUCCACACAAAAAAGAAGAAUUGGAAAUGUAUAAUACUAUACAUAUGCUUAAAUGAAAGUAUUUACUGAAUUGUGGAUCGAUGCAUUAAUUGUCAUCACAAGUGAAAAUUAGGUAAUAAUGAGUACUAGUUAAUAGUUGAGCACGGAAAAAGCAUCGAAUUUUGACCUUGCAUUUAGUACCACACCACAUCUCCUAACUCCUUAUUACAUGUCCCGAUCCUCAGCUUGCUGUCAACAUGUAUUAGUCGAGUAGGUCGAGAUCUGGAUCAACCAUGGCAAUAUAGAAUUCCCAAUUUCCCAUAUAUGCAAAAAGUAGCACUGCAAAUGUCCACUUUCAAUAGCAGUAGUUGUCACGUAUGAGUGUAAGUGCAUCAAUGCUAUCAGUGAGUUUUGUUGAAAAGAUGAUGACGCAUAUAAAGAGGUAAUGAUGUUUCAUGAGAUUUUCAGUUAUACAUCGAUGUGAAAAAGUGCAAAAAGAAACAUGGGACCCCUCAAUUCUUACUUUAAAGAAAAAUGCGGCAUUGCGUUUUCAAAGAAACAUGGAAAAAGCAUCGAAUUUUGACCUUGCAUAUACUACCACACCACAUCUCCUAACGCCUUAUAUCUCUACAUCCCUAUCAACACGCAUGUGUGCAUUAGAUCGAGCAGGUGUCGAGAUCUGGAUCAGCCAUGGCAAGACAUAAUUCCCAAAUUAAUUAAUUCCCAUAUGCAAAUAUUAGCACUGCAAAAUGUUCUAUUCUAACAGUAGUUCGUUGUCACGUAUGAGCAAAGCAGCAAACUAAUCUGUCACUCCAUCAAUUAGACAUCUCAAAAACAAAAGGAUGAGAUUAAAGGAAAAGACUAUAUAUAUAUAUAUAUAUAUAUAUAUAUAUAUAUAUAUAUAUAUAUAUAUAUAUAUAUAUAUAUAUAUAUAAUUCCUUAUAUAAUAUUUUUUUAAACUCAUGAGAACAUGCAUGUUUGACUCGAGAACUUAAUUAGUAGUAGUAAUAGCAUGCGGAGCACAUAAUAUGGUCCUACGUUGCGAUCCCUUGAAGCUUGUUUCUUCGCCAACAUAAGCUAAACAAAAAUACCGGCAUGACAUUUGAAAUAAAGUUCACAUUUACUAAAAGAUGAUCUUUUGGAGCACGAAACAGUUGAAUUUUCGUGUGCAGGGGAACUGGAAAUUUAGAGCCACGCAUUUUCGACAUGGAGACAAUUUAUUAGUAGUGAAAAAUUAGAAUCUAUGAUAGUUAUAGUUAUUAUUAGGUGCUACUAUUUUAAUGAGUUCGUGAUGAUUCAAUUGAAUCUAUGGUAACACCUGUGAUGCUUUUCAACGUGGAUUACACGAUUAGUGAUUUGAUCAAUACAAUUUUAUGGUUUAGAAGAUUUUGGCCAUGAAGACUUGUGCAACAUAUAUUACAGAAAAUGAUUGUGGUUGAAACAGAAGAAAAAUUGUUGGCCAAGAAAUUUAUGAUAAUGAAGUAACUGAAUAGGAAGAAUUAUUUUGAUGGAUGAAAUAAAUUUUGGCACCAAGAAAUUGAAAAUAGACGUCAAAAACAACAUCCGUUCUUGGACAAAUGCACAGCUAUGAUUAGGGACAAAUAGAGAUCUCUAUCGGUCGAAGUAUUCGCGCGCUCCCAACUCUUGCGUCCCUUCUACGCAACCUCACGUCUCCUGCACCAUGUAUCAGUGAAAAACACACAACGACCACUUAUCGCUCCCAGCUCUUAUGUCCCUUCUACACAGCCUCACAUCUCAUACACCAUGUAUCAGAGAAAAACACACAAUGACCACUUAUCAGAGAGUAAAAAUAUGAGCGUCUAGAAGCUUCUACACUUGAGAGCUUAGACACGAACAAAACGAAGAAGCCUCUACACUUGUACUACAAGGAGUGCAAAAAUGGCCGACAAUUGUUAUACUGUUGGGCAUUUACUUGCACCGUCGGGAAGUGUAAUGCCCGAGCGUGUACCGUCGGGAACCUCACGUCGAGCAUCCAUGGUCGGGCAUUCCCCCUUUUACGGACGGGUAGUCGGUCAUUGUGUGGCCGACCGUAUGUUUCCGACGGUUAACGCUCAACAAUUAGUUUGUAAACACGCCAAAAAGACUUUGGUCGGACAUGAAUUGCCGAGGGUACCCUAGUCGGGGACUUGUUACUUGACAAUUUUUUAAAAUCCAUUGGCAAAUAUAUACAGUCUGAGUUUUGUUGAACGACGGCUUUUUAAAACCCAUCAGAAAAUAUAUCCGGUCAGGAAUGCAUUGCAUGACGGGUUUUUAAAACCCGUCGGGAAAUAUAUUCGGUCAGAGAUUUGUUGCAUGACAGUUUUUAAAACCCAUCGAAAAAUAUAAUCUGUUGGGGAUUUGUUGUACGACGGUUUUUUAACCCAUCGAGGAACAUAUUAGCAACGGUGUUUAUUAACCAUUAGGAAAUAUAAUCGGUUGGGGAUUUGUUGCAUGACGGUUAUUGAACCCCAUCGAGAAACAUAUUAGCAAUGGUGCUUGGGAUAUUUUAUAGCCAUAAAUAAUUAAUAUUUAACAAUGAAGAUCAAUUCUAGAUGUACAUUCACACUAUAACUCACGACAUUUCAUAACCAGCUCUACAAUAUUGCAUAGUACAAUGAAAGUUUGAAGCCCAAUGACAACUAAACAAAGGUACGAACAAGAGAUUCUUAAAGUUUCUAAGAACAUUCUUCAACAUAACAUAAGUUAAUGUUUAGACUAAAAUACUUGACUAAGAUGCUGCUAUUCACAAGGCAUAACAAAUACUACUUAAAAGUGCCACACACUUCAUAUGUUGUAUAGAAUCUUUUCUCAUCAAUAGGUGCCAUCAUCAUCAUAACCAUGGUUCACAUAAUAUUUGCCAUCAUCUUGGGAACGAUAGACUUCAUCUUCAUAAUCAUAGGUAUCAUCCUCACUGUCAUCACCACUAUAGUUUUCUCCACCAAUGUUAUCCUACAGAAGUUGUAAAAUUAUUUCUAUAAACAUAUGAACUAACUUGAAUACAUAUAAGAUAGAUUUUAUAAUACUUAACUUGAAUACAUAUAAGAUAGAUCUUAUAAUACUUUGGCAUGAAUAUGCAACACAAAUAAUACUUACAUGUUCAGAUGCAUUAGGAACAGUUUUCUUAUGCUCUAUAGAGAAUGCAACCUCGGAUUCAGAAGUAGGUUGCAUGUCAUUGUUGACGGUCCUUAAUGCUCACAUUUAACCGUCAACUAAUCAUGGAAAAGGACCUAUAUGCAACCAACAUCCAAAAUUAGGGUUUCAUCUGACAGAAUUUCACGAGUUUUGGUGUUUGUCUAUUUCUGCAGGGGGUUAUGAGGAAAUAUGGAGGAAAGGUCCACACAUCGGGUUUACAUAGAGAUAUUAACGUGCACCGUAAUUAUCCAACAUCUAGAAGAGUCGAGAAGCCACGGGAACGAGCGGAUGGCCGAGCGGGCCCGGGGGCUGGGCGCCCGACCUCCCUCAUAGGGCGCCGCCCUGCUACAGGAGCCAAUCAGGCUCCGCCUCGCGGAUUAUGCUCCACCGACCGAACGAAUUAAGGAAAACCGUGCGAUUAAGGUCGGUUUGAUCCGACGGGCCAUGUUCAUUUGGAAGGGCUAUAUAAGCAGGCCCCCUGGCCCCUGGAGAGGAUAUUUCUUCUACACAAUCAAAGCUAGGGUUUCAAUUAUUCAUCCAAGUAGAGAGGAUCCCUCUAGUUCAUCUAGUUCUAGUUCUAGUUCAUCUAGUUCUAGUUCUAGUUAGUUCUAGUUGUAAUCUAGAAAAUAGGGAGAGAGAAGAGGAGAGCGGAGGAGGAGCCGGAUCUGUCGGAUCUUCCUCAACAUUAUACUUUUGCAGCAAUUGGUUUGUUCUUCAUCGUUGUCCAAGUUCUUCAAUUCAUAAUUCCUGAGUUCUUUAAUUACUUUUAUUUACAUUCAAGUUAUUUAUUGGAUUUCUGCUAACAUCAAGUGCUCUAGUCUUUGCAAUGCUAGAGUAGUAAUUAAUAGAUUAGACGUGGUGUUUAGUCUUGCAAUUACCUAGAAUUACACCCAAUCCUGUGGAUUAUUGUGGUAGCUCUAGGGUAGUGACAGACCUAACGGUCGACGUAUUCCACCUCGUUCGGAUCGGUGUUUGUAGGACCAUAGUCAGAGCUUCCUAGCCCCCUUCUCAUCUCUUUCUGUGGUUAGUGUUCUGAUGUCCCGAAAUAAAUAAUCUUUGAAGUAAUUCUUUAUUCUUAGAUCAACUAGAGAACUCUCAGGAAACUUCCUCUCUUCCCACCAAAAAUAAUUAUAUAGUUAUCCUUGGGCGAUCUUGAAUCUUAAUUAGUACACUCAUGUUCCCUGUAGAAAAUCGAUACUCUAGAAUACUCCUGGAUGAAAGCUACAUCGGUAUCCGUGCGCUUGCGGAUUUUUUCUGUUUGCGUUUAAAAUACCCAACAAGCUUUCUGGCGCCAUUGCCGGGGAACGGUAGUUGUGCUAGUUUCGAACCAAGUCGUACGUGUAUCCUUUUUCUUUUCCUUUUUUUUACCACACUCACCUUACCAUUUUCACCAUACCACAUGGAUUUCACUCCUAUCUAUAAAUUAUUUGCUCCAAAGGGCGAGUUAUUAGAGCCACCACCAUCAUCACAUCCAAUUCUUACAGAUGGCUACGACCUCGGCCCUGAUCUAAUAGCCAUGAUUCAGGAGCAACCCUUCUCUGGGCAAGUAGAUGAAGAUCCAUACACCCACCUUAGAGAAUUCGAGCAGUUGUGCUCUUGCCGAUCUAUUUCCGGCAUGACACAAGAAACCCUUAAAUGGAAAUUAUUUCCAUUCUCCCUUUUGGGAAGAGCAAAAAAGUGGUAUGCUCAUUCUGUAGGAGGCGUUAAUGGAAAUUGGGAUGAACUUCAGGACAACUGUUGUCUCGCUUUCUUCCCACUUUUUCGAAUCGCUGACCUUAGAAUCAAAAUUCUUACAUUCAAACAAAGAGAGAAGGAAACUUUAGGAGCAGCUUGAGCUAGGUUCACAAGCCUUACCAAUUUCAGUCCAAACCUUUUCAUGCCUGACCAUGUACUAUACUACCACUUUUAUCGUGGUCUAAACAAGGAAGCUGCUCUUCACCUCGACAUUGCUUCAUGAGGCUCAUUCGCACACAAACUCAUAGAUGAGGGGAGAGCUAUCCUAGAGAGAAUCCUUGAAAAUAUCCCUUACACAGCCAUUUAUGAUGAGUUUCCUAAAGAAGAAAAAGAAGUCGAGCCUGAUCCUAAACCAAAAGAUGAGGAACUUGCAACCGAGUUAGAAAUUCCACCUGACCCAUCUAUUAAUUUGGUUGUAGAGAAACCUCCUGAUAAGGGAAUGCAAAACCAACUAAGGGAUAAUGAACCACCACCUUUAGAGCAUUCCUUUGAAUUCGAGGAAGAUCUUUUUGAAGAUUAUGGAAACGCCUCGAAUUUUCUUAUCCAAACACGACCUCUAGCAGGGACCACUCAAUCCGUUCUAAGAGUAGAAUCUGUUGACAUAGAACACAUCAAAUGCCUUUCGGCUAUUCUGAGUUAUGAAUGGCUAACAGAAGCAGAGCUGUCUCCUGAGGUAGCUCAGAUCAUCACUCCUUCAACCAUUCUUCUGUGCAAAAUUAGAGGGUCCGCUAGGAAGGUCCACUACAAUCCACAUGUUGGGAUAAAUGUUAUUUCCAAGGAGUUAGCUCACACUCUUUAUCCCAAUGAGUCCAUAACCCCAUCUCAAAAACUUUUACAAAGUCCAUCUGGAUUAAUUCUAGAAAGCCAUGGGGGUAUUAAGGGCAGUUCCUGUUAGAAUCAAGGACUCUGGAAUAUGUCUAGAUUUUCACAUUUUUGACAUACCGGAGAUUCCUCUCUUGAUUGGCAGACCAAUCAUGAAACUUCUACAAGAACAACCACAACGAGGUCAUUUAGACUUCAAUGUUGGGAAUUCCACUAUUGUUGUUCCUCUUGCUAGAUCAAUUAACACGAUAGUGGAACCCAAACUUAAACUAGAUCCUAUUGAGGAGAUCUUAAUGCUGACUCAAGAGGAGAUGGCCCAACCAUUCUUUAAUCAUGAACACUUUGUUCAAGAAGAAGAAGAGUUGGUAUAACCUGUUGAGCUAGACAAAAAUGAACAACCUUCACCUCCUUCGAUAGAGUUAAAACCUCUUCCUUCUGGCCUUAGAUAUGUCUUUUUGCACAACAACCCAAAAACUCCAGUAAUUAUCAGUGACAAGCUUUUCGAUUAUGAAACACAACAACUUGUCACUGUUCUUGAAAGGCAUAGAUCAGCAUUUGGCUACUCUCUUGAAGAUCUCACGGGCAUUAGUCCCAUUCUCUGCACUCAUCGUAUCCCUAUUGAUCCCAAUUUUACACCUUCAAGGGAACCACAACGGAGACUUAACAAUGCUAUGCGAGAGGUUGUUAAGAAAGAGGUCCUCAAACUCUAUCAUGCUGGGAUUAUUUAUCCUGUGCCACAUAGUGAGUGGGUUAGCCUUGUCCAAGUAGUGCCAAAGAAAGGAGGAAUGAGAGUCGUUAGGAAUGAGAAGAAUGAACUCAUCCCUCAACAAAUUGUCACUGGGUGGCGUAUGUGUAUUGACUAUCGAAAACUCAACAAGGCUACAAAGAAAGAUCACUUUCCGUUACCCUUCAUUGAUGAAAUAUUGGAACGGCUUGCAAACCACUCUUUAUUUUGUUUCCUUGAUGGUUAUUCUGGAUAUCACCAAAUCCCAAUCCACCCAGAUGACCAAGAAAAGACUACCUUUACAUGCCCGUAUGGAACUUAUGCAUACCGACGAAUGUCGUUCAGAUUGUGCAAUGCUCCAGCUUCUUUCCAACGGUGCAUGAUGUCUAUUUUCUCGGACAUGAUUGAGAAGAUCAUGGAGGUUUUCAUGGAUGAUUUUAUCGUAUAUGGCAAAACCUUCGAUCAUUGUUUGGAGAAUUUAGAUAAAGUCUUGCAGCGAUGUGAAGAAAAGCACUUAAUCCUGAACUGGGAGAAAUGCCAUUUUAUGGUUCAGGAAGGAAUAGUGCUAGGACAUAAAGUGUCCGAACGUGGUAUAGAGGUGGACAAAGCAAAGAUUGAAGUUAUUGAAAAACUUCCACCUCCCACGAAUGUGAAAGGAAUCCGUAGCUUUUUGGGACAUGCAGGGUUCUAUAGACACUUUAUCAAGAACUUCUCUCAAAUUGCUAGACCCCUAACUAGUCUCCUAGCUAAGGAUGCACCUUUCAUCUUUAGUGAUGAGUGUCAUGAAUCUUUUCAAACUCAUAAGAAAGCACUCAUCUCAGCCCCGAUUAUCCAACCACCUGAUUGGAAUCUUCCUUUUGAGAUCAUGUGUGAUGCUAGCGAUUUUGAGGUUGGUGCCGUUUUAGGACAAACCAAGGAUAAAAAGCAUUAUGCCAUAUCCUACGCUAGCAAAAUCUUGUCUGGACCACAGCUCAAUUACACUACAACUGAAAAAGAGAUUUUGGCUAUUGUCUUUGCUAUUGACAAGUUUAGAUCUUACUUAGUGGGGCAAAGAUAAUCAUCUAUUCAGACCAUGCUGCUCUCAAGUACCUCCUCACUAAGAAAGAUGCUAAGCCUCGUCUAAUUCAAUGGAUUCUUCUACUCCAAGACUUUGACAUAGAAAUCCAAGAUAGGAAGGGAGUAGAGAAUUCCGUAGCCGACCACUUGUCUAGGCUUCAAUAUAAGGAAACACAUGAUGAGCUUCCCAUAAAUGACUACCUAAGGGAUGACACCCUGCUUAAGAUAACACAUGUAAAUCCAUGGUACGCAGACAUCGUAAACUUUAUAGUAAAAGGCUAUGUCCCACCUGGUACAAACAAAAGGAAGUUGCUUCACGAUUGUCGUUUCCACCAUUGGGAUGAGCCAUAUUUUUUCCGAGUCUGCACUGAUGGACUCUUGAGAAGGUGUGUUCCUAUGGCUGAGGCUACCCAAAUUAUGGAAAGAUGCCACGCCUCGCCAUAUGGAGGACACUAUGGAGCAUUCCGGACACAUGCUAAAAUUUGGCAAAGUGGCUUUUUCUGGCCAACGAUGUAUGAAGAUACAAAGGACUUUGUCAGGAGAUGCCACCGAUGUCAAAAACAUGGGAAUAUCAACUCACGAAAUGAAAUGCCUCUCACAAAUAAUCUUCAAGUAGAACUUUCCGAUGUAUGGGGCAUUGAUUUCAUGGGGCCAUUCCCUAUGUCCGGGAAUUGCGAGUAUAUCUUAGUAGCUGUGGACUACGUGUCCAAAUGGGUAGAAGCCUGUUGACACUUGCUAACACCACUUGAAUACUAGGUUGUCAUCCCCAGCAUAGCACUAGAGUGUACUAUGGUAUUUAUACGCACACAGAUAAUCCGCAAGCGCACGGAUACCGUUGAAGCUUUUACCCGGUUAAAGGUUUUAUCGUAUCCACAGGGAAACGGGAGAACCAACUACGCUCUAACUUAACCAAAAUAGGAAAGAUGGUAGAAUCGAAUAAGAACAAUAUUAAAGGUAAGAUAACAGUGAGUGAUAAUAUGGGAAUAGAGAAUAGAGCAAUUCUAGUAUAUGGGCGAUGGUAGCAGAAUAGAGAGAAUAACUAUGGUUUCUCUACUUCAAAGGGGUAUGUCUAUGUCUGGGACGAACCACGUGAUAAGAUUACACCAGAAAGGAUGCUUAUCCAUAGGCCGAUAAACACUACCCAUCCUGCUAACGAGAGGUGGACUACAGAGGACCAACGUAACUGUCACCUACGCGGCCUACCACAUGAUCCACCUAGACAGGGGAUAUCCACAAGUAAUCUAGGUCUAAGCACCACGCUUACACCUAUACUACAACUCUAACCUAUAGCGUCCUAUAUAGAUUAGAAGUACUCAAAAGAGUUGUGAACCAGAACAUACAUGAUUAGUAAUUGCAUAAUGAAUUAGAAGUAGAUUACUAGAGUCAUCCCUUGAGCAAGCUUGAUUAGAGCUUGAUCAUGACGAAGUACAACCGGAGGAAGAACCGACAGGCCGGCCUCUCCUCUAAUCCUCCUUCGCUCUCCAUCUUGCUACUAUCUAGAUCUACUCUAGUUUAGAGAAGAGAGGAGAGCUCUCAUCUCUAAACCCUAGCUUUUGCUCUGUCUAUGAAUAAUGAAUAAUGUUCAAGGGGUGCCUCCUCCAGGGGCCAGGGGGUCUGGUUAUAUAGUCUUUUCAGAUGAAUCUGGGCCGUCGGAUCAAACCGACAUUGAUCGUGUGGUUUUCCUUGAAGUAUUAGGUCGGUGGAGAUCUCCCGAGAGAAAGAGUCCCGAUUGGGCUCCAGAGGUGGGCGGGCGCCCAGGGUAGGAGGGCGGGCGCCCUGCCUCUGGCCCCGUUCGGUCUCUGCUUGCUUCCCGUGGCUUCUGGAGUCUUCUAGAUGGAAGAUAAUUGCGCGGCACGUUAAUAUCUCUAUGUAAUUCCGACGUGUGGGCCUUUCUUCCGUAUUUCCUGAUAACCCCCUGCAGAAAUAGACAAACACCAAAACUCGUAGAAUUCUGUCAGAUAAAACCCUAAGUCUAGAUGUUGAUUUCAUUUGGAUCCUUUUUUUUGUUUAUGUGAUAAUUAAAUUUGAUACUUAAGGACCAUCAAUAAACUCCCCCAAGCUUACCUCUUGCUUGUCCCUGAGCAAGGAUAGACUCAGCAAUGGAUCAGAAGUUGUUGCAAUAUCUUAAAAAUUUGACGGUACACAUGCUUUUAAAUAAGAUCUCAUCUCUGAGUUAGAGUAAACUGUCAAGAACUAAAACUUACUUACUUUACCUUUCACCAUGGGACUUGUAACCGUCACUUCUGUCUUGAGUAGUUAAAAGAUAGAACAGUCUAGCCAAGUGCCAUGUCUCUUAUUCUUGAUCAGCUAUAGCUCUGGAGUUUUUACAGAUUUUCAAAUAAAACUCAGAGAUUCCUUGUAUGACUCUCUCAAUCUCUCUUUGGUGGUAUUUCUGGAUCCUUACCAAGGCAGUGAUGGUAUAUGCCUUCUCUCAAGAUAUGUGGUAUUUGUGGUAUAAGGCAUAGUGACAUUGCCUUCUCUCUCACCCUACUCUAAUAAGGCUUUAAUAUCUGGAGCUCAUAGGUGGGAGAUAAAGUAUACAUACUUACAAGACAUUUAUUGUAUAGUCAAACCAUGGAUCCAAAGAAACAAAUCAAUAAGCCAAAUCAAGAUGUGCAUGUGUGGCGAAUGAAUGGUGUAUGGUGAUGAUGGUGAUAACAAUGGUGGAAGUCUAAUUCUACUUUUGCUCUUUUGAGGGGAUACAUACCUUCCUUGCUUUUUGAAACUUUAUGAGGAGAAUGAGAUGCUCUUCUUUUUCUUUUCUCUCAGGUGGGUAUCCUGUACCCCUAAUUCUACUGUCGGACACUUGUCUAUUUUUACCUCUCGUCUCACUCUUUUUUUUUCUUUCGAGGUUCCGGGCACUUGCCCCUUUUUAUUUCCUCGUUUAUUAUUUUUUUCUCUUUUUUUUAGAGCACUCAUCUGUUGAGAUAAUAUAGCAAGUGGUAGUAGCAAGAUAACUUGAGCAUUUAUUUCACAAGGGAAAACAGAAAUAUUUUUGGCUAUUCUUUCCCGGAUUAGGAGUAGAAUAUUUUUGGGUGGUUCUGGAGAUGGACAUGGAUGGAUAUAUGUGGAUGGUACUUCCGGAGUAGAAGUAGCAUAUAUGAGUAAACGUGCAAGUGAAUCUUGAUUUAACCACAUGACAAGCUCCUAAGGGUCUGCACAGCUUGACCACACUCAAUGCUCAUAAGCAGUAAAUAAUAAAUAUGUGGCUCAAAGUCUAGCAAGCAUGUAUAUAUGGCUGUGGUAGGAAUUUAAACUCUCAUCAUACAGGAACUCAUCAUGCAACAUUUUAAAGAUUUUCAAAGAUAAAAUUCUCCAGAUUUCUAGCAUCUCUAGGAACAGAUAAAUAGCAACUCAACCUUCCCAUAUCAUAUCCGUUAACAACUUAGAUUUCAGAUCAAGUUUUCAUCCCACAAGUUUAGAUCUAGAGCAAGCUUUAAAUUAUAACAGUUAUGUCUAAACUUGAGAGAGAGCUUCAAAUUUGCAAAUUAGGCAGAGUAACUAUUCAUCAUAUCCAUGCUAGAGUUUUAUUAUUAAGAUUCAGAUUAGCAUAGCCACUUUAUUUAUUUAUUAAACACACUAAGCAAAAGAUAUAUAUAUAUAAGCACAAAAUCUUUAUUUGGUUUUUCAUAGUUUAUGUAUUUUAAUAUUCUAACAUAAUAUAAGUAUAAAGAUAGGUAGAAAUACUUAGCGAGAUAAAUGGGGGUGCUCUCCCCCAAGCUGAAUUUUGACGUAAUUUCUCUUGCUGUAGCUAGCAGGUGGCAAAGGUGUAUUUGAAAGUUAGCAACAUUCUGACAACGAUUAGAAUGUCCUCCGUCUGCUAGUCUUCUUGAUUCUUAAAUUCUGUGGAGCUCAAAUAGACAACAAAGCUCGUGGAACUAAGUGUUAGCAUAAAUAUCUAGCCUUCAUCAUGUUGAGCUUCCUCAAUAAAUAUUACUCCCUAUUUUUAUAUUUUUAUUUUAUAAAGCAGAAAAGAAAUAUUUAUUUUAUUUUUAUGCCACCAUAGUGAAGGUACUUAUGGGUUUUAUGCCACUCGUAUACUCACAUGGGGCUUAGUAUUUUUUAACAUUUUUAUUUUCUUUUCAAGAUAGCAUGAUUAACUAAUAAUCUAUUUAAAGAAAGUAAAUAAUUAAAGGGAAAAGGGAAUGCAGAAAGGAUAAAUAUGGAUAACUACCGAUCUUACCUUUCGGCGAGGGUUCAAUGUUUUAAGUCUUUUUAACAAGACUUCUCACCGUGUUCAUUCUUUAGGUGCGUCAUUUGAUUCAGGUGCGGACCUUGACAUCUGCACCUCUUGAUACGGUGUCACCCAUGUUCUUCGUUUGCCCAGCAGUUCGAAGUGCGGCGUUGGCAGUAUCCUGCUCAGUGUGUUUGUGCUCGUAGAUCCAGGUCCUUCACUUGGUAGAGUCUGAGAGUUAUAAAACUCCUCCGUGUUUUGCUCAAAGUGUACCUGCUCAUAGAGACAAGGCAGAGAUCAAGUGCAUGGGUCCUGUUGGUGGAAAACACCAACAGAACCUAAAGUGUAUUUGUUGUUCUCUAACCCUAAGCAUAGUGAGCAAGACAAAGUUGAUGGAUGAAAAGUUCAUGAGUGUAGCACUUAUAACAUUUGUCAGAUCAGAUCGCUCAACCUUAUGGAAAGAUAAUUUAUCUAUGUAUAUGUCUUUUUCUUUAUAUCUCUCAAUGAUUGAAUGUGUAACAUUUUAGCUCAUAUGAUUAGGAGUGUGGGAUCAUGGAGGUAGUACUAAGAAUAAGGAUUAAAGGACUAAACAUGUUGAAUCAGUUGGGUUGGUUAAUCUAGACUUGUAAAUCAUACAUGUUUGUCUCUUUUAUUUAUAUGAACGCCAAAACCAAGGAGAAGCUUAUAAAAGUGAUAGUCAAGUACCUUA
rnacentral:lncRNA from 1 species